UACGAGGGUGUCAAACGUUGUCCGGAAUUAUUGGGCGUAAAGGGCGCGUAGGCGGCGACCCAAGUCAGAUGUGAAAGUCCUGGGCUUAACCUGGGGACUGCAUUUGAUACUGGGUUGCUUGAAUUCGGGAGAGGAUAGCGGAAUUCCCAGUGUAGAGGUGAAAUUCGUAGAUAUUGGGAAGAACACCGGUGGCGAAGGCGGCUAUCUGGACCGACAUUGACGCUGAGGCGCGAAAGCGUGGGGAGCAAACGGG
rnacentral:rRNA from 1 species